rnacentral:rRNA from 1 species
GUGAGGAAUAUUGGUCAAUGGGCGAGAGCCUGAACCAGCCAAGUAGCGUGAAGGAUGAAGGUCCUAUGGAUUGUAAACUUCUUUUAUAGUAGAAUAAAGUGAUCCACGUGUGGAUUUUUGUAUGUAUACUAUGAAUAAGGAUCGGCUAACUCCGUGCCAGCAGCCGCGGUAAUACGGAGGAUCCGAGCGUUAUCCGGAUUUAUUGGGUUUAAAGGGUGCGUAGGCGGAAUAAUAAGUCAGUUGUGAAAGUUUGCGGCUCAACCGUAAAAUUGCAGUUGAUACUGUUAUUCUUGAGUGUACAUAAGGUAGGCGGAAUUCGUGGUGUAGCGGUGAAAUGCUUAGAUAUCACGAAGAACUCCAAUUGCGAAGGCAGCUUACCGGGGUACAACUGACGCUGAGGCACGAAAGUGUGGGUAUCAAACAGGAUUAGAUACCCCGGUAGUCC